rnacentral:rRNA from 1 species
GACGUAGGGCGCGAGCGUUGUCCGGAUUUAUUGGGCGUAAAGAGCUCGUAGGCGGCUUGUCGCGUCGUCCGUGAAAACCUGCGGCUCAACUGCAGGCUGGCGGUCGAUACGGACAGGCUGGAGUUCGGUAGGGGAGACUGGAAUUCCUGGUGUAGCGGUGAAAUGCGCAGAAAUCAGGAGGAACACCAGUGGCGAAGGCGGGUCUCUGGGCAGUAACUGACGCUGAGGAGCGAAAGCGUGGGGAGCGAACAGG